UCUCCCCUGGCAAUGGGCAAAGAGAUACUUGUUGGUGAUGGUAUUCUAAUAUCAGUCAAAAGUAGAGGAGAUGGCAGUCCUUGGUUCAUCCUAGCUUGAUGCCUGGCUUGGUGGCCAAAGCUGUUUUAUGCCCAGGACUCAUAA